rnacentral:lncRNA from 1 species
AGGCAGUAAACAGCAAGUGCACCCCGAGUCUCAAAUGCCCACGUGUUUGGUUUUCUCUUUGUGACAGAAUUCCUGACGUAAACAACUCGAAAGGACGACUUAUUUUAAUUCCCCGUUUCAUUGGUUGCCGUCCAAGAUUAGCUGGAUACAUAGAUCUGAGCUUGGGGAGCCGCAAGCGGCAUGAUGGUUGGAAGAGUAAGACGGGGACUGCUCACCUGGACUUUCUCCAUAUUUGAGCAACCACUUCAGACAUGAACCAUGUUAAAAUGGAGGUAUUUGUUCCUUCUUUUCUUCCACCCAGUUUUCCCAUUGACUUGUGAACGCUGCACACACACAUAAGGCAAGCCCCGCCCCCCGGCCGUUAAUAGGCUCUGAGUUCACCUUUACUGCCACACCCAGACACGGACUGUCUUCAUCUCUCAGGUAUGGCCAAGUGAGACAAGGACAAAAGAGCCAUUUGGUCUACCUGCCUCACCUAUCUUGGACUCCUGCAACAAAAUGAUUUGAGGCAAAGUCUUGGUCUAAUUAAUUGAUGAGCUAUAUGUAUAGAAAUAUCAUCUUUUAAAAAACUGCAGCAGACAAGAGAACCCUGGUCAAUGGAACCCCAAAGUCUGUGGAGACUGAUAAAAUAUCCAGCGGAGAUGUUCCAAGAAGACUGAUGUACAAACUGGCCAGACCCUUUACAAAGGCGUGUCUACAGAGUGAGUUCCAGGACAGCCAGGGCUACACAGAAGAACCCUGUCUCGAAAAACAAAAACAACAAAAAACAAAAAGCAAAAAAACAAAAAAACAAAAAAAAAACCCACAACAACAGCAACAACAAAAAAAAAAGAAGCGAAAUCCUGAAGGGAUGAUUCCUGUUUCCCAAGUACAUAGCUAUGAAAAGUAUGGUGUCACUCAAGGUCACAAGCUCAAAUUGGUCGGAGUCCGCAAAGAGACGGGAGUCAUUACCUCGUUUGGUUGCUUAGCAGGGUUGAGCCAGCAAAUUAGCCACUUCCACGGAAGUUCUGCUGUACUGGCGUCCUACCCUAGUUAGCAUCUCAUCUCGCUUCUUGAUCACCAGCCUCAGAGAGAAAUGCCUGCCAGGACCUCGUGACCAUGAAUGUGCUGCCUUUGAAACAAAUCAAAACAACCAAACCAUUCCAAUGACGAUAAUAAUAACAACCCACCUGCAACAGUAACUGAAGAGGCAAGAAUGCAUCCUAGGCCUUGAAAGGGUCUCACUAUAACCCUGGAUGGCCUGGAACUCGCUUUGUAGAUCAGGCUGAACUUCAGCUCACAGAGAUCCCCCUGCCUCUGCCUCCUGAACACUGAUAUUAAAUGUGUAUGACACCACACAUGGCCUCCUUUCUUGAUUAAACAACUUAGAACGUGUUACUGAGGGCUGGAGAGAUGGCUCAGCGGUUAAGAGCACUGACUGCCUUCUGAAGAUGAGUCUUUCUUGGGCCCUAUCUCCUAGUAAGGAAGCCCAGGCAGAUCAUAAAAAGUCACAUGGAGAAGAAUCAGGGGCCCUUCCCCUGACUGAGCUCUUAGUCGGCAGCUAAUUGCACUUCUCUGGCCGUAUGAGUGACUCAUCGUGAAGCAGGUCUUGGUGCUCCAGUGCAGCUGCCGAAGAUGGUCUCUCGGGAACAGUUACGGAUCUCCCACGUACCAGAUCCCUGUUCAAACUUCCCAACUCGUGUGAGGUGGCACAUUUGCAGACCCAGUAGUGAGGAAGCUGAGGCAGGAGAAGAAAGAAUUCAAGGCCAACCUAACCGACAGUGAGAGCUCCAGACCACCCAGGGAGAUGUAGUGGGAGCACCUGUCUCAAACAAAUACAAAGUAACAAACAACAACAACAAAAAUCUUUCUUGUUUUAAGGUGUUUGUUAUUUUGUUACGAAUAAAAAAAAUUAAACAAAACAUGGGCCAUCCAUAUGAAAAGUGGAGU